AAGUCGUAACAAGGUUUCCGUAGGUGAACCUGCGGAAGGAUCAUUAACACGUAUCCAACGUUAAACCCCCCUGUGAACCUUCAUUGUGCUUCCACACUUUGUUAGAAAGUGACAAUCCCUGGUAAAUCAUCGCCGAACAGAUUCAGGGACUUCUGCGAAGAGGGUGAAUGAGGUGAGGCAAUGGACCUGGCAUUCCUCUGCUUGUUGGUGUCUGAAAGUGUCACUAACUCUGUACGAAUGGCGCAGUCACGUUCGCUGGAGGCCGACACGGCCGGCGACCGGGUCCCUGAGCUCUGCUCCCUAAUAACCUUUGCAUGAAAACGGCACCAAACUCGAACAACUGUUAACAAUGGAUAUCUUGGUUCUC
rnacentral:misc_RNA from 1 species